rnacentral:rRNA from 1 species
AUUGAACGCUGGCGGCAGGCCUAACACAUGCAAGUCGAACGAGUGGCGGACGGGUGAGUUAUGUAUGGGAAUCUGACUGGUGGAUGGCGAUCACUAAUGGGAACUGUAGCUACUACCGCAUACCUUCAGCUGGGCCCAGAUGGGAUUGGCUAGUUGGUGGGGUAACGGCUCACCAAGGCGACGAUCCCUAACUGGUCUGAGAGGAUGAACAGUCACACUGGAACUGAGACACGGUCCAGACUCCUACGGGAGGCAGCAGUGGGGAAUAUUGGACAAUGGGCGCAAGCCUGAUGCAGCCAUGCCGCGUGUAUGAAGAAGGCCUUCGGGUUGUAAAGUACUUUCAGCUGGGAGGCGUUACCCGCAGAAGAAGCACCGGCUAACUCCGUGCCAGCAGCCGCGGUAAUAC